AAUCAACGCUGGCGGCGUGCCUAACACAUGCAAGUCGAACGCGAAAGCCCGCAAGGGUAAGUAGAGUGGCGCACGGGUGAGUAACACGUGGACAACCUGCCUUCGAGUGGGGAAUAACCUUCCGAAAGGAGGGCUAAUACCGCAUAACACCUCGGGACACAAGUUCUGGGGUUGAAAAGAGCAAUUUGCUCGAAGAGGGGUUCGCGCCUGAUUAGCUAGUUGGUGAGGUAACGGCUCACCAAGGCUUCGAUCAGUAGCCGUCCUGAGAGGGAGCACGGCCACACUGGAACUGAGACACGGUCCAGACUCCUACGGGAGGCAGCAGUGGGGAAUUUUGGCAAUGGGCGAAAGCCUGACCAAGCAACGCCGCGUGGGUGAUGAAGUAUCUUGGUACGUAAACCCUUUCGGCAGGGACGAACCUAAUGACGGUACCUGCGGAAGAA
rnacentral:rRNA from 1 species